rnacentral:rRNA from 1 species
ACUCCUACGGGAGGCAGCAGUGGGGAAUCUUCCGCAAUGGACGAAAGUCUGACGGAGCAACGCCGCGUGUACGACGAAGGCCUUCGGGUUGUAAAGUACUGUCUUCAGGGACGAACGGUAAGUAUGUAAAGAAUGUACUUACAUGACGGUACCUGAGGAGGAAGCCCCGGCUAACUACGUGCCAGCAGCCGCGGUAAUACGUAGGGGGCAAGCGUUGUCCGGAAUCAUUGGGCGUAAAGGGCGCGUAGGCGGAUACUUAAGUCUGGUGUGAAAACCUGG